AUUGAACGCUGGCGGCAGGCUUAACACAUGCAAGUCGAGCGGAGAUGAGGUGCUUGCACCUUAUCUUAGCGGCGGACGGGUGAGUAAUGCUUAGGAAUCUGCCUAUUAGUGGGGGACAACAUUCCGAAAGGAAUGCUAAUACCGCAUACGUCCUACGGGAGAAAGCAGGGGAUCUUCGGACCUUGCGCUAAUAGAUGAGCCUAAGUCGGAUUAGCUAGUUGGUGGGGUAAAGGCCUACCAAGGCGACGAUCUGUAGCGGGUCUGAGAGGAUGAUCCACCACACUGGGACUGAGACACGGCCCCGACUCCUACUGGAGGGAGCAGUGGGGAAUAUUGGACAAUGGGGGGAACCCUGAUCCAGCCAUGCCGCGUGUGUGAAGAAGGCCUGAUGGUUGUAAAGCACUUUAAGCGAGGAGGAGGCUACUGACACUAAUACUCUUGGAUAGUGGACGUUACUCGCAGAAUAAGCACCGGCUAACUCUGUGCCAGCAGCCGCAGUAAGAC
rnacentral:rRNA from 1 species